GAUGAACGCUGGCGGCGUGCCUAAUACAUGCAAGUCGAGCGAACGGACGAGAAGCUUGCUUCUCUGAUGUUAGCGGCGGACGGGUGAGUAACACGUGGAUAACCUACCUAUAAGACUGGGAUAACUUCGGGAAACUGUAGCUAAUACCGGAUAAUAUUUUGAACCGCAUGGUUCAAAAGUGAAAGACGGUCUUGCUGUCACUUAUAGAUGGAUCCGCGCUGCAUUAGCUAGUUGGUAAGGUAACGGCUUACCAAGGCAACGAUGCAUAGCCGACCUGAGAGGGUGAUCGGCCACACUGGAACUGAGACACGGUCCAGACUCCUACGGGAGGCAGCAGUAGGGAAUCUUCCGCAAUGGGCGAAAGCCUGACGGAGCAACGCCGCGUGAGUGAUGAAGGUCUUCGGAUCGUAAAACUCUGUUAUUAGGGAAGAACAUAUGUGUAAGUAACUGUGCACAUCUUGACGGUACCUAAUCAGAAAGCCACGGCUAACUACGUG
rnacentral:rRNA from 1 species